GAGCAGUAUGGUUUCAGGGAGAGGUGGGCGUGGCCUUGCUGUUAGGGGUGGAAAGCCAUGGGGCCUACUGGCUUGAUAAGGGGUAUGGGGGUCAAUACUCAACUGGUACCAGGGACUAAGGACAGUACACCUAUGUGUUCCUGACGCCUUCACUGACUUGCCCAGCUUCCAACAUUGUGAGUGUGGAGGUUGGAGGCUUUGUGUCAGGGGGGCAUUAACGUGUUCUCUGUUGAAGGAGGCUAUCACAGCAAUUGGCAGAGACAAGGGGACCACACGGCAAGAAAGGCUGGGUGGUCGCUCAGAGCACAGCAGAUUUUCGUUGUUGGCUUCAGGAAGACCAUCUCCUAGGGAGGGGAUGUCAGCCGGAAGAGCCAUGAGUUAACUGGAAGAUGGGAGCUUGCACCGCAGAGGCAGUGACUGCAGCGGAGUGACAAUCAAGGGACAGAGCAGAACCUGUGAGGUCAUCUUCAGAGCCACAUGCUCCUAGAGCCAUCAGAGGGUGCUGGAGAGAUCAGCUGUGUAAGAGACGGAGGUGGAGUGGUGGUGCAUGCAUGCAGUCCCAGCACUGGAGAGGCAGGGGAAGGAAGGCUAAGGUUCUAGUCUGCCUGGGAGCCACAGUGAGACCAUGCCUAAGGAAAGAACAAUGGUUCAACUUUGCAGUCAUCUACUUCUAGAACGCAGACCGAUUGACUCACAGCUUCUGUGAGGCACAGUUCACACAUGGCGCUGUCAGUGAAUCUGGAUGCAGUCGCAAAGCUGGGCAGCAUCGCCACAGUCCAUUCCUAAAGGAACACAGCCAUGAGCAGCCACUCUGCCUCCCUACCAUCACCCCAAGGCUACAAGCCGCUAAUCCCCUUUCUCUUUCUCCCUUUGACCAUGAUAGAAAUUGAGUAACGACCAGGGUCUAUCCAUGGAAUAGGAGCUAGCUUGCUGGAGCCCAUUCCCUAUGGUGGGAUACCAUGCUCAGCCUUAAUGCAGAGGGGAGGGUCCCUGCCCCAAUUUAAUGUGCCAGACUU